CUACUCUUGACAUCCAGAGAACUUUCCAGAGAUGGAUUGGUGCCUUCGGGAACUCUGAGACAGGUGCUGCAUGGCUGUCGUCAGCUCGUGUUGUGAAAUGUUGGGUUAAGUCCCGCAACGAGCGCAACCCUUAUCCUUGUUUGCCAGCGAGUAAUGUCGGGAACUCCAGGGAGACUGCCGGUGAUAAACCGGAGGAAGGUGGGGACGACGUCAAGUCAUCAUGGCCCUUACGAGUAGGGCUACACACGUGCUACAAUGGCGCAUACAGAGGGCGGCCAACUUGCGAGAGUGAGCGAAUCCCAAAAAGUGCGUCGUAGUCCGGAUCGGAGUCUGCAACUCGACUCCGUGAAGUCGGAAUCGCUAGUAAUCGUGGAUCAGAAUGCCACGGUGAAUACGUUCCC
rnacentral:rRNA from 1 species